ACUCAAAUGAAUAGACGGGGAAACGCACAACCAGCGUCCCAUGUGGUUUAAUUCGAUACGGAACGAAGCACCUUACCUGGGUUUGACAUUCUAGAGUUCUAUCUUCGGGAAACCGAAGAAAUCCGCAAGGAGGCUAGAACAGCUGCUGCAUGGUUGUCGUCAGUUCGUGUCGUGAGGCGUCCGCUUAAGUGCGGUAACGAACGCAACCCCUGUCCUGUGUUAAAUAUUCACAGGAGACUGCCUUGGUUUUACCAAGGAGGAAGGAGGGGACGACGUCAAAUCAGCAUGGCGCUUACAUCCAGGGCUACACGCAUGGGGUAAUGGCAAGUACAACGGGUCGCGAAAGAGUAAUCUGGAGCUAAUCCUAAUAAAGCUUGCCUCAGUUCGGAUUGUGGGCUGCAACUCGCCCACAUGAAGGGGAGUUGGUAGUAAUCGCGGGUCAGCUAUACCGCGGUGAAUACGUUCUCGUUUCUUGUACACACCGCCCGU
rnacentral:rRNA from 1 species